UACGUAGGGUGCAAGCGUUAAUCGGAAUUACUGGGCGUAAAGCGUGCGCAGGCGGUUUUGUAAGUUUGUCGUGAAAGCCCCGGGCUCAACCUGGGAAUGGCGAUGAAGACUGCAAGGCUUGAAUCUGGCAGAGGGGGGUAGAAUUCCACGUGUAGCAGUGAAAUGCGUAGAGAUGUGGAGGAACACCGAUGGCGAAGGCAGCCCCCUGGGUCAAGAUUGACGCUCAUGCACGAAAGCGUGGGGAGCAAACAG
rnacentral:rRNA from 1 species